UUCUUUAUGGCUAAAUGUAAGCAUAUGUUUCAGCCCUGAUAAAACAAACACGCGUCCCACUAAAACUCCCACUCUUCUACACACUUCAUUUCAAUGAUUUCUCUCUCUGAUUCAUCUUCCUCUUCGGGCUCCUAUACGUGAUAGACAACAGAUUUGAAGUGGUGAGAAAUUUGCACCGAUUCUUCAAGAUUUCAGAUUUUGAGGGAAUUCGUUAACUAAUCAAUUGAUAUAAUCCAGAAACACAGCCAGAUGUUGUUGCCUCAAUCAGCACUCAUGAUCAAGAAUUCAGGUAAAUUCACUCUGCGAAAACUCCUUCAAAAAUCUACGCCAAAUGAUGAAGAAAGUGAUUUUGCCAUUUCAAGAUUGCAAGAGAUUGUGAUUCUCAAUCAGUUUCUGAAAAGAAUCCUGCUUUUAUGUGUUGGGUCUUGUCUAUCCUUGUUGUUUUAUCAUGACUUCUUUGCUCUUGUUAUUUCUCAUUUUCGUAUUGCUUUGAUUUGCGUGUCCGUAUCUGACUCUUUUCUCUUGUUUUCUUUUGAGCCGAGGGUCUUUCGGAAACAGCCUCCCCACCUUCCGAGGUUAGGAUAAGGUCUUGCAAAGCUUAUGUUACAAGGGGAGCAAUGAAAAAGACCAAUAAAUCACUAACCCUGCUCUCACUUCUCUCUCAUUUUCUAGGUUUACACUGAGGUUUAUUCUAAGGUUUUUAAUGCUUGAUUCUUCUUCCUUUGAAAUGGCACUGGCAAAGAAGAAGGUCUGCUAAGAAUUUCUAAUCAAUUGCCUCCAAAGCUCAAUGAGGGCGGAUUGUGUGAUUUGGCAAGGUUCAAGAUGAUGAAGAGCCACGAGGUACAAGAUAGAUUGGAAUAUUCUUAAUGGAACAUCCAACUCAGGCAUUUCAUACAAGUGGUGCUAAGUCCUUUGGAAAGGUAUGCUCGCAGUAUCUCCUGGGCUUGCCCCUCCUCUGAAUACAAACACACAUAAACACCAUACUUGAUGUGUAAAAUAAUGCAUUCUCCUGUGUUCCUCUCCACAUUCCUACACACAUGAAUAAUUUUGUGUGCACGUGCAUAGGUUUUUUUUUCCCCUAGAAAAUUUCAAGAUUUCCAACUGCAAUAGUGUAAUUGUAUUCUUCUAAACAGCGUUCUAUGUGUUUGCGAUAUCAUCGGUCAUGCACGAAGACAGAUCUUAUUUUUUAAGUGCUCAAAAAUAUAUCAAAGGCGAUUUUCUAACUGAACUCUAUAACAGUUAUAGCAAUUAUACUUCAUCUAGAGUAUUUAUAUGAAAUCUUAUGGCUGGACAUGUUGCUUAUGUUCUCGGAGAAUACUCAAGGAACUAUUGUCAAAAUUAUUUAUCAAAAUUAUAUAGUUAGUAGCUACUGAAGUACAUGGACUCAACAUACUUAGGAAAGGUAGAAUAUAAAGAGUUAUGCCAGAGUCUAUUUGAGCUAAAGAAUCCACCGCCGACACACUCUGGUUAUUCUUCCAUUAUAUUUGGCACAAUAGUCUUUGGUGCUAUGUUGAGUUGCCCGGGAGCCAAAACUUCUUUAGGAUUAAUAAAAUAUUAUAUUAGAGGAAACAUUUAUUCCUCUAUUUUGUUGGAGCGCUUCCAUCUUUAGCUUCUUUGGCUUUAAUAACUUUUAGAUGACCAACUUUUCUGAAAGGUGAACAAAAUGGGGGCUCUCAUAUAGGAUGUCUCAUUAAAUUGGAAAGCUCAAUAGAGAUGCUUAAGAUAAUCAACAUAUCAACGGGAAGCACUUUGGUUGGUCUGUUGUAGCAAAUAUGCUAAUGUCAUUAUGUGUGAUAACUCUUGAAGCGCUUUCGCAGAAUCUAUAUCCUGAACUUCGACGUAUCUUCUAAACUGUCAAGUUGCCUUCGCACAAUUGACGGAUCCUUGGAAUUGCCUCUCUUUUAUAUCCAUUCUAGGACAAUUGACUCACUUUGUUAUUUUUGUAUUAGGUGAUUUUUAGGGGUUUGUCUUUACUUUGUGUCAAUUUUUAAAUGAUACCUUUAAACAAAAUUUAAAGGUAAAUGUUUCUUCCAAGAAGUAAUCCACUUACAGCUUAUGUAACUCAGUGUUACACCUCGGAAAAUUUUUUCGUUGAUGCACAAGUGAACAGACUAGUGAAGAGCACGAGUAUACAGUAUUUCAAUAAGUAAAUAAUGACAUUUGAUGACCCUAAGUAAGAUUUCAAAGACAUCCGAUGUUAGACAAGAAAGUUGUCAAGAGAAGGCAAGGCAUACAAUAGGUAACGG